ACCUGACUGCUAUCGGAUUGAUACUAAGCCAUGCGAGUCAUUGUAGCAAUACAAGGCAUACGGCUCAGUAACGCGUAGUCAACCUAACCUAUGGACGGGAAUAACCUCGGGAAACUGAGAAUAAUGCCCGAUAGAACACUAUACCUGGAAUGGUUUGUGUUNCAAAUGAUUUAUCGCCAUAGGAUGGGACUGCGGCCUAUCAGUUUGUUGGUGAGGUAAUGGCCCACCAAGACUAUUACAGGUACGGGCUCUGAGAGGAGUAGCCCGGAGAUGGGUACUGAGACACGGACCCAGGCCCUAUGGGGCGCAGCAGGCGAGAAAACUUUGCAAUGUGCGAAAGCACGACAAGGUUAAUCCGAGUGAUUUGUGCUAAACGAAUCUUUUGUUAGUCCUAGAAACACUAACGAAUAAGGGGUGGGCAAGUUCUGGUGUCAGCCGCCGCGGUAAAACCAGCACCUCAAGUGGUCAGGAUGAUUAUUGGGCCUAAAGCAUCCGUAGCCGGCUCUGUAAGUUUUCGGUUAAAUCUGUACGCUUAACGUACAGGCUGCCGGGAAUACUGCAGAGCUAGGGAGUGGGAGAGGUAGACGGUACUCGGUAGGAAGUGGUAAAAUGCUUUGAUCUAUCGAUGACCACCUGUGGCGAAGGCGGUCUACCAGAACACGUCCGACGGUGAGGGAUGAAAGCUGGGGGAGCAAACCGGAUUAGAUACCCGGGUAGUCCCAGCUGUAAACUAUGCAAACUCAGUGAUGCAUUGGCUUGUGGCCAAUGCAGUGCUGCAGGGAAGCCGUUAAGUUUGCUGCCUGGGAAGUACGUACGCAAGUAUGAAACUUAAAGGAAUUGGCGGGGGAGCACCACAAGGGGUGAAGCCUGCGGUUC
rnacentral:rRNA from 1 species